AACAAGCUAAUACAUGCAUCACAAAUUCAUCUCCAUCCACAAAUUCUUGACAGAUAUAUAUAAAAAAUGGAAUGAGGCUCUUCACAAAAACUUGAACACUAAAAAACUAUAACUUAAACCCUUUCCAGAAGCUUGUCACAUAUGCCACUGCAUGUUCAGUACCUAAGUAGAGAGAUUGUAUAGCUCAAGAGCUCCUUAAAUCAUGUAUUGCCUCCACCAAGAGCUCUGCAAGUAACACCAGAGAAACAAGUUAGACACUUGUAUUGUAUACAUGAAAUAAACAUGUUUCCAUCUACUGUUCCUUGCACUUAAACACAAUAGCAAUAAUAGCAGCCAUGAUAAUGAUGUUUCUAUCAGUUUAGACUAAGAUAAAUGAAAUACACAACUAGCACCGCACAAGCAUAAGCUAGAUGGUGCUUUACUAGCAACCCUGAUGGCCACCAAGUUAUAAAAACCUAAAUCACUAGUAUGAAAAGCUAAAUGAAAAUUUAAAAAAGAAAAAGGAAAAAAAGUUACUACUACCUGAAUACUAAGCAGAGGACAACUGUAUGGGACUAAUCACUAUUCUACACUAAGAUCAACUAUAUGAUAACACAACAAAGAAACAUAGCAGCAUAACAAGGACUGCCAGAGUUACAAGACAUAUGGUAUGGUUCUAAUACAAACAUGAAAUUUCAGAUAGAAAACAGUAUAGUUAAAGCUCUAUUUGCAAACAUGAAGAAGAAAAAGGACCUAGAACCCAUGCAGCCAAUAGCAAGAUCGGCUUUGUUUGGACCUAGAACCCAUGAGCUAAUAGCAAGAUGGCAGCAAGCAGUACAGUUUAGAGGAAAGAUUAAGACCAGCUUAAUCAAUUCUGAAAGAAAAAACAACAGCUCACUGAACUGAAUUUUCUAAAGGUCCAACACUGAACUACAACUCUUAUCUGAAUUUUAUAAUGCUAGACCUGUACAGAACACCUCUCUAUGCCUUUUCUACUUGCCAUGAUCACACACACAAACUAGUGAUAUGUCAGCCUAGAAACAAUUAGGAAUUUUUUAAGACAAUGCAAAAGCAAAGCGACAAGGCACGAAUAAAAUUACAUGCUAAUUAUCCAGCUAACAAGAGCUCCAAACAACAUGUGACAUAUUAAACCAAGAGCUACAGUUAAGGCAUGCCAUAUAAAGCAAUGAGUAAAAUACACUGGCGGCCCUUUAACUUGUCAGCCUGUGCCACUUUGGUCCAUGAACUUGUAAACCCGAAAAAAUAACCCCUGAACUUGUCCGCCUGUGCCACUUUUGUCCAUGAACCUGCAAACGCAAAACAGUGGCCCC
rnacentral:lncRNA from 1 species